AAUGGGUUUAGACCUGGCGCCUGCCGCAGUGCGGAGCACGCCAGACUCACUGAGAGAGCGUCUCCAGGAGGAAGCUGAGGCAUGACGGCGCGAGUGCCGGCAAUUCCUGUAAAAUUUUCUUCCCACAGCUUAUGGGCACUGUUGCCAUGGCAAUAGCGACUGGGCGGUGUCGCUGUCUAUCAGGAACAGUCAGAGAAGCCGGCGGUCUCGAUAUUGUGCACAGAAGGUGUGGUUUCUGCUGGGCACUGAGCACUGCCACAAUU